AAUGAACGUUGGCGGCGUGGAUUAGGCAUGCAAGUCGAACGGUACUGGUCUUCGGACCAGGAGAGUGGCGCAAGGGUGAGUAAGGCGACGGCCACCAACCCCAUGGUUGGGCAUAGCCACGAGAAAUCGUGGGUAAUUCCCAGCGAUGUUUUCGGGGGGCAUCCCCUGGAAACCAAAGUACCAACGCCGUGGGACGGGCCGUCGUGGUAUUAGGUCGUUGGCGGGGUGAUGGCCCACCAAGCCUAUGAUGCCUACCGGGCGUGCGAGCGUGGCCCGGCACACUGGGACUGAGACACUGCCCAGACUCCUACGGGAGGCUGCAGUCGAGAAUCUUCGGCAAUGGGCGCAAGCCUGACCGAGCGACGCCGCGUGGAGGAUGAAGGCCUUCGGGUUGUAAACUCCUGUCGAGGGGGAGGAAGGCGCAAGCUUGACCGAUCCCUGGAGGAAGCACGGGCUAAGUUCGUGCCAGCAGCCGCGGUAAGACAAACCGUGCGAACGUUAUUCGGAAUCACUGGGGCUUAAAGCGCGUGUAGGCAGAUGGGGACGUCGGUUGCUGAAAUCCCCCGGGCUCAACCGGGGAACGGGCACCGAAACGCCCCCGUCUGGGAGGGACGUAGGGGGGACCCUGGAACUUCCGGUGGAGCGGUGAAAUGCGCUGGAGAUCGGAAGGAACGCCCGUGGCGAAAGAGAGGUCUCUGGACGUCAUCUGACGCUGAGACGCGAAAAGCUAGGGGAGCGAACGGGAUUAGAUACCCCGGUAGUCCUAGCUGUAAACGAUGGGCACUGGGUAGGGGGCUCGCCGAUGGGCUCCCUGCCGCAGGGAAACCGUGAAGUGCCCCGCCUGGGGAGUAUGGUCGCAAGGCUGAAACUCAAAGGAAUUGACGGGGGCUCACACAAGCGGUGGAGCAUGUGGCUCAAUUUGAGGCUACGCGAAGAACCUUAUCCUGGGCUUGACAUGCACGGAUUAGCCGGCGGAAACGUCGGUGACGCCGCGAGGUGGAACGUGCACAGGUGUUGCAUGGCGGUCGUCAGCUCGUGCCGUGAGGUGUUGGGUUAAGUCCCGUAACGAGCGAAACCCCUGUGGUCAGUUGCCAGCGCGUCAAGGCGGGAACUCUGACCAGACCGCCGGCGUCAAGCCGGAGGAAGGCGGGGAGGAGGUCAAGUCAUCAUGGCCCUUAUGCCCAGGGCUGCACACGUGCUACAAUGGGACGGACAGAGCGUCGCCAGGCCGCAAGGCCGCGCCAAUCGCCAAAAUCGUCCCCCAGUUCGGAUUGCGGGCUGCAACCCGCCCGCAUGAAGUUGGAAUCGCUAGUAAUCGCCGAUCAGCAAUGCGGCGGUGAAUGUGUUCCUGAGCCUUGUACUCACCGC
rnacentral:rRNA from 1 species